UGCUCCAGGGACUGGGAUAGGUGCUGAGGAGAGAGACGUCCAGUGCACAGGGCCCUCCUGGCUGAGCCUGGGAACUUCAGGGACCACCUUCUGGAGGACAGGAUGCCUGUGCUGAGUCUUGAAGAAUGAGAGGGAUUCCAGCAUGGGACAGGCUUUGAGAAGGCAAAGGAGAUCCUGAGAAUUUCAUUUCAGCUCCAGGGACGCCAUUUUGUCCUGAGAGGAAGCCAGCUUCCUCCCUCAGGUGAACUCUGUGUAUGUUUGUGAUGGUGAGGGAAAACCUAACAACUCAGGCCCAGGAGAA
rnacentral:lncRNA from 1 species